UACGUAGGGCGCAAGCGUUAUCCGGAAUUAUUGGGCGUAAAGAGCUCGUAGGCGGUUUGUCGCGUCUGCCGUGAAAGUCCGGGGCUCAACCCCGGGAGGCGGAUGGAUACUGCAAGGCUCGAGUCCGGAAGAGGCAAGUGGAAUUCCCGGUGUAGCGGUGAAAUGCGCAGAUAUCGGGAGGAACACCAAUGGCGAAGGCAGCUUGCUGGGACGGUACUGACGCUGAGGCGCGAAAGCGUGGGGAGCGAACAGG
rnacentral:rRNA from 1 species